ensembl:lncRNA
GGCAGUUUUAUUAUGCUUGAAAUUCUCUGUUUGUUGUACAUUGAUAUAUACAGUAGUAUCCGAUGAGCUGACUGUUAUCACUUUAAUUCAUAAAAUCCAAGGCAAAAUACAUGCAGAAUAAAGAACUACAAAUAACAAAGAAUGAAGUUAUUUACAUAUUGUCUAUUUUUAGGAUGUUAAAGAAUGUCAACACAGAAUCUACCAUUUUUGUCAGUGAACACAGAUGAAGUUAAUCAUGCAAAUGUAAAUCUAUAAAAAACAUCUGCUUGCCACAAAAACAACAAUAACAACAAAAAAACAUUACAUAUACUGUAUUGUACUCCAAGUAAUGCCAUUGUAUGAUUUAUUUCUCAAGUAAUAUUUUAAAGUAAAGUAAUUUUUUACGUAAUGAAUUUAUGUGAAUACGUGAAUAUAAUGAUUUCAUUUAAUCUUUAGUCUUUAAAAAUGCAUAUGAAGAUAUUUCAACAGACUAUGUUGCAGUUUUCUGGAGUGCGGUCAUAACUUUUACUGCAAUGUUGGAGGAAACAUUGAGACCCCUUCAUGAUCAUGUAUUAAUACACAUUCUCUUUCUUUUUCUACACAUGAAGUGAUUCUGAUCAUUUCUUUGUCUGCAUGUAUGAGAAAUCUAUAGGAGUGGCAUAUAGUACUGCUUGUGGUCAGGUAUUGCUUUAUGAGAUGGUCUAGACAUGCUAUCAAACCAUGACAUGUGGGCUUCUCUUUCUGCAGCCAGACUUUUUUGUUCAGUAAACCCUCAGCAGUGAGGUUCUCUAGCUUUAACUGACAUUUCGUUUCCACAGUUGCACAUGGACCACUAAAUUGAGUGGCAUAUGUGACUGAGAACCUGUUGCAUUUGAUGUGCAAUCUUAUCAGAACCUCUUUAGUAACAGCUUCUUGUGCCUGUGUAAAACAGGAUUUAAUCUCAUCCUGGCAGGAGUGGUUGAAAAAGUGCCUGGCCUCAAUUAAAGACGUUUUGAUUUUUUCACCACACUGGUUGCCUAUAAAGACAUUGACAUAGGUUUGGUUGUUUUCUGAUGUUACAGUAAAAACUUGCGAGGGAUUCUGACCAAUUUGUACACAAAAGUAAUUUCCUUUGACUAGCAAUUUGGAGUACGGUUUUAGAGGAUGGUCUCUAAUGAAUCUCUCAGCAAAUUCCAAGUUGGAGAGAAGGGUGUUGUCUGUUAAGUUCUUUUCCUUCAGUUCAUGCAUCACAGACAUUAUGCUUUCUGUGUCAGGUAGAAAACUGGGGUAACAGCUUGGAAGGAAGGAAAGAAAGAAAGAAAGAAAGAAAGAAAGAAAGAAAGAAAGAAAGAAAGAAAGAAAGAAAGAAAGAAAAAGAAAGAAAGAAAGAAAAUUUAUACAUUUAAUUAAAGUUUAAUUUCUUCCUCCAUAUCAAUAGCAAUGUACUUACAAUGACGUUUCCAUUGAGAAGGAGGAUGGGUUUCUCCGGCAGACCAAAAAUUUUUCAGAAUGAUCCAACUGUCAUCAGAUACAUUCAUUUAUGAAAAAUAAUGUACAGUCAUUAUCUCAAAUAUACUUUUAUAACCCUGAAGUGAUCAAAUUAAACAAUCACAUUCAUUACACUGUAUAUAGCAGAAUGUUUCUGUCUUUCAGUUACAACCUUUUCAGAUUAUAUAACGGAUUAGAUAUAAUUUGAAGGGUGUGCAAACAAAAAUUACAGAGGUCCAUUUGUAGGGAACUUUUCAAAAAUAUAUC